rnacentral:rRNA from 1 species
GGGGGGGGGGGGGGGGGGGGGGGGGGGGGGGGGGGGGGGGGGGGGGGGGCGGCGGGGGGGGGGUGCGCGAGUGGCGAGCGGGGGAGUAAGCGGGGGGUAACCGGCCGUUGGCGGGGGGAGGCCUGCGGGAAAGUGGGGCUAAUACCGGAGAGGGGCUCCGGCGGCAUGGUGGGGGUGGGAAAGAUUCGGCGGUUGGGGAUGGACUCGCGGCUUAUCAGCUUGUUGGUGGGGUAGUGGCUUACCAAGGCUUUGACGGGUAGCCGGCCUGAGAGGGUGACCGGCCACAUUGGGACUGAGAUACGGCCCAGACUCCUACGGGAGGCAGCAGUGGGGAAUAUUGCACAAUGGGCGGAAGCCUGAUGCAGCAACGCCGCGUGCGGGAUGACGGCCUUCGGGUUGUAAACCGCUUUCGCCUGUGACGAAGCGUGAGUGACGGUAAUGGGUAAAGAAGCACCGGCUAACUACGUG